UCCCAUGUGGUCUUGUCGUGAGGAUUCCUGGCUUUCACCUAGGCGGCCCGGUUUCGGUUCCCGGCAAUAGGAA